AGUGAACGCUGGCGGUAGGCCUAACACAUGCAAGUCGAACGGCAGCACAGUAAGAGCUUGCUCUUACGGGUGGCGAGUGGCGGACGGGUGAGGAAUACAUCGGAAUCUACUUUUUCGUGGGGGAUAACGCAGGGAAACUUACGCUAAUACCGCAUACGACCUACGGGUGAAAGCAGGGGAUCUUCGGACCUUGCGCGAUUGAAUGAGCCGAUGUCGGAUUAGCUAGUUGGCGGGGUAAAGGCCCACCAAGGCGACGAUCCGUAGCUGGUCUGAGAGGAUGAUCAGCCACACUGGAACUGAGACACGGUCCAGACUCCUACGGGAGGCAGCAGUGGGGAAUAUUGGACAAUGGGCGCAAGCCUGAUCCAGCCAUACCACGUGGGUGAAGAAGGCCUUCGGGUUGUAAAGCCCUUUUGUUGGGAAAGAAAAGCAGCAGGUUAAUACCCCGCUGUUCUGACGGUACCCAAAGAAUAAGCACCGGCUAACUUCGUG
rnacentral:rRNA from 1 species